GCGAUACAGGGUGACAGCCCCGUACACAAAAAUGCACAUACUGUGAGCUCGAUGAGUAGGGCGGGACACGUGGUAUCCUGUCUGAAUAUGGGGGGACCAUCCUCCAAGGCUAAAUACUCCUGACUGACCGAUAGUGAACCAGUACCGUGAGGGAAAGGCGAAAAGAACCCCGGCGAGGGGAGUGAAAAAGAACCUGAAACCGUGUACGUACAAGCAGUGGGAGCCUCUUAAUGGGGUGACUGCGUACCUUUUGUAUAAUGGGUCAGCGACUUAUAUUCUGUAGCAAGGUUAACCGAAUAGGGGAGCCGAAGGGAAACCGAGUCUUAACUGGGCGUUAAGUUGCAGGGUAUAGACCCGAAACCCGGUGAUCUAGCCAUGGGCAGGUUGAAGGUUGGGUAACACUAACUGGAGGACCGAACCGACUAAUGUUGAAAAAUUAGCGGAUGACUUGUGGCUGGGGGUGAAAGGCCAAUCAAACCGGGAGAUAGCUGGUUCUCCCCGAAAGCUAUUUAGGUAGCGCCUCGUGAAUUCAUCUCCGGGGGUAGAGCACUGUUUCGGCAAGGGGGUCAUCCCGACUUACCAACCCGAUGCAAACUGCGAAUACCGGAGAAUGUUAUCACGGGAGACACACGGCGGGUGCUAACGUCCGUCGUGAAGAGGGAAACAACCCAGACCGCCAGCUAAGGUCCCAAAGUCAUGGUUAAGUGGGAAACGAUGUGGGAAGGCCCAGACAGCCAGGAUGUUGGCUUAGAAGCAGCCAUCAUUUAAAGAAAGCGUAAUAGCUCACUGGUCGAGUCGGCCUGCGCGGAAGAUGUAACGGGGCUAAACCAUGCACCGAAGCUGCGGCAGCGACGCUUAUGCGUUGUUGGGUAGGGGAGCGUUCUGUAAGCCUGUGAAGGUGGCCUGUGAGGGUUGCUGGAGGUAUCAGAAGUGCGAAUGCUGACAUAAGUAACGAUAAAGCGGGUGAAAAGCCCGCUCGCCGGAAGACCAAGGGUUCCUGUCCAACGUUAAUCGGGGCAGGGUGAGUCGACCCCUAAGGCGAGGCCGAAAGGCGUAGUCGAUGGGAAACAGGUUAAUAUUCCUGUACUUGGUGUUACUGCGAAGGGGGGACGGAGAAGGCUAUGUUGGCCGGGCGACGGUUGUCCCGGUUUAAGCGUGUAGGCUGGUUUUCCAGGCAAAUCCGGAAAAUCAAGGCUGAGGCGUGAUGACGAGGCACUACGGUGCUGAAGCGACAAAUGCCCUGCUUCCAGGAAAAGCCUCUAAGCAUCAGGUAACAUCAAAUCGUACCCCAAACCGACACAGGUGGUCAGGUAGAGAAUACCAAGGCGCUUGAGAGAACUCGGGUGAAGGAACUAGGCAAAAUGGUGCCGUAACUUCGGGAGAAGGCACGCUGAUAUGUAGGUGAAGCGACUUGCUCGUGGAGCUGAAAUCAGUCGAAGAUACCAGCUGGCUGCAACUGUUUAUUAAAAACACAGCACUGUGCAAACACGAAAGUGGACGUAUACGGUGUGACGCCUGCCCGGUGCCGGAAGGUUAAUUGAUGGGGUUAGCGGUAACGCGAAGCUCUUGAUCGAAGCCCCGGUAAACGGCGGCCGUAACUAUAACGGUCCUAAGGUAGCGAAAUUCCUUGUCGGGUAAGUUCCGACCUGCACGAAUGGCGUAAUGAUGGCCAGGCUGUCUCCACCCGAGACUCAGUGAAAUUGAACUCGCUGUGAAGAUGCAGUGUACCCGCGGCAAGACGGAAAGACCCCGUGAACCUUUACUAUAGCUUGACACUGAACAUUGAGCCUUGAUGUGUAGGAUAGGUGGGAGGCUUUGAAGUGUGGACGCCAGUCUGCAUGGAGCCGACCUUGAAAUACCACCCUUUAAUGUUUGAUGUUCUAACGUGGGCCCCUUACCGGGGUUGCGGACAGUGUCUGGUGGGUAGUUUGACUGGGGCGGUCUCCUCCUAAAGAGUAACGGAGGAGCACGAAGGUUGGCUAAUCCUGGUCGGACAUCAGGAGGUUAGUGCAAUGGCAUAAGCCAGCUUGACUGCGAGCGUGACGGCGCGAGCAGGUGCGAAAGCAGGUCAUAGUGAUCCGGUGGUUCUGAAUGGAAGGGCCAUCGCUCAACGGAUAAAAGGUACUCCGGGGAUAACAGGCUGAUACCGCCCAAGAGUUCAUAUCGACGGCGGUGUUUGGCACCUCGAUGUCGGCUCAUCACAUCCUGGGGCUGAAGUAGGUCCCAAGGGUAUGGCUGUUCGCCAUUUAAAGUGGUACGCGAGCUGGGUUUAGAACGUCGUGAGACAGUUCGGUCCCUAUCUGCCGUGGGCGCUGGAGAACUGAGGGGGGCUGCUCCUAGUACGAGAGGACCGGAGUGGACGCAUCACUGGUGUUCGGGUUGUCAUGCCAAUGGCACUGCCCGGUAGCUAAAUGCGGAAGAGAUAAGUGCUGAAAGCAUCUAAGCACGAAACUUGCCCCGAGAUGAGUUCUCCCUGAGACUUAGAGUCUCCUGAAGGAACGUUGAAGACGACGACGUUGAUAGGCCGGGUGUGUAAGCGCAGCGAUGCGUUGAGCUAACCGGUACUAAUGAACCGUGAGGCUUAACCUUACAACGCCGAAG
rnacentral:rRNA from 1 species